rnacentral:rRNA from 1 species
UCUUCGGCAAUGGACGAAAGUCUGACCGAGCAACGCCGCGCGAGUGAAGAAGGUUUUCGGUUCGUAAAACUCUGUUGUUAGAGAAGAACAAGGAUGAGAAGAGAAUGUUCAUCCCUUGACGGUAUCUAACCAGAAAGCCACGGCUAACUACGUGCCAGCAGCCGCGUUAAUACGUAGCUGGCAAUCGUUGUCCGGAUUUAUUGGGCGUAAAGCGAGCGCAGGCGGUUCUUUAAGUCUGAUGUGAAAGCCCCCGGCUCAACCGGGGAGGGUCAUUGGAAACUGGGGAACUUGAGUGCAGAAGAGGAGAGUGGAAUUCCAUGUGUAGCGGUGAAAUGCGUAGAUAUAUGGAGGAACACCAGUGGCGAAGGCGGCUCUCUGGUCUGUAACUGACGCUGAGGCUCGAAAGCGUGGGGAGCAAACAGGA